GGUCUUAUAGUGUAGUUGGUUAUCACUCUGGACUUUGAAUUCACACGCAAAGUGUCCAUACGCGAGCGCCGGUCGAACGGCGCGCUCUCGCCCUCGGAUUGCGCACGCAGUAAUCCAGCGACUCUGGUUCGAAUCCAGGUAGGACCU
rnacentral:tRNA from 1 species